GACGAACGCUGGCGGCGUGCCUAACACAUGCAAGUCGAGCGAGAGACUUCGGUCUCUAGCGGCGGACGGGUGAGUAACACGUGGGUAACCUGCCUCAUAGAGGGGGAUAGCCUUCCGAAAGGAAGAUUAAUACCGCAUAACAUCAGAUUGUCGCAUGGCAGUUUGAUAAAAGGAGUAAUCCGCUAUGAGAUGGACCCGCGGCGAAUUAGCUAGUUGGUGAGGUAACGGCUCACCAAGGCCACGAUGCGUAGCCGACCUGAGAGGGUGAUCGGACACAUUGGAACUGAGAUACGGUCCAGACUCCUACGGGAGGCAGCAGUGGGGAAUAUUGCACAAUGGGCGAAAGCCUGAUGCAGCAACGCCGCGUGAGUGAUGAAGGCCUUCGGGUUGUAAAGCUCUGUCUUUGGGGACGAUAAUGACGGUACCCAAGGAGGAAGCCACGGCUAACUACGUGCCAGCCGCCGCCGUAAUAC
rnacentral:rRNA from 1 species